ACAUUAUAUAAGGAAUAGUCUGUCACAUGGGACACAGAUGUGAGAGGACAGAGAGAGACACUGACAUUAUUUGAUUUCAUAUUAGGUUUAUUAGUAACAAAUCAGGAAAGAGUCUUCACAUAAGAAUGUCACCACCACCACCACCCAAUACACACAGGCAUUUAGCUGCCCUGGACACAGACACACAGGCCUGUCAGGACCCCUGCCUGUCUGAAAACAACCCGUAAUCCUUUCCAUUGCUUUGAUCCGAGGACAGGUGUGAAUAAUAUAUGGAUUUGCUGCAGCCAUGUUGGGUUAGAUCAACACAAGACUAUGACUAGGGGCUAGGGAUCAGGGGCUAGGGAUCAGGGGUCGUUCUCAGACCAGACCAGAGUUAUUCAAAAGGUUACAAUUCAAAAGGUGUCCGUCUUCACUCCCCGACCAGUCAGUCACCCCGUCAGUUAGAGGGGUUGUCUAAAAGACCUUCUAGACCCCGAAAUCUGGAAAAUAAGAAGAUAAAGGGCGAGAGUGAAGGAAAGGAGAGGUGUGGAAAGAACGAAAGAAAGAUAUUAUUUCCCCAAAGCUCCUGCUCAUCCUGCCAGUGUGUUUCUCCCUAUAAUAACACUACAUUGUUACCUUGCCAAAGACAGCAUCUAGUGGUCUAAAGACGACACUAGCUGGUACCCAGACCCACCAAGAUCAUGACAGCACCUAGUGGGCUAAAGAAGACACUAGCUGGCACCCAGACCCACCAAGAUCAUGAUGAAAGGGGUGAAACAAAGAGAAGAGGAAAGCAUAGCCCCUUAAAAUAGAGUGAUUGAAGAUCACAGGAGGAGAAGAGAGGGCAAGUAGGAGGGGAGGAGAAGGGGGAGGAGGGGAGGAGAA
rnacentral:lncRNA from 13 species